rnacentral:rRNA from 1 species
UACGGAGGGAGCUAGCGUUGUUCGGAAUUACUGGGCGUAAAGCGCACGUAGGCGGCUUUGUAAGUUAGAGGUGAAAGCCCGGGGCUCAACUCCGGAACUGCCUUUAAGACUGCAUCGCUUGAAUCCAGGAGAGGUGAGUGGAAUUCCGAGUGUAGAGGUGAAAUUCGUAGAUAUUCGGAAGAACACCAGUGGCGAAGGCGACUCUUUGGCCUGUAACUGACGCUGAGGCGGCGAAAAGCGUGGGGAGCAAAC